rnacentral:rRNA from 1 species
CAAUAGCGUAUAUUAAGGUUGUUGCAGUUAAAAAGCUCGUAGUUGGAUUUGUGGCUGUCUCGAGCGGCCCGGCACCUAGUGCCGGUGCUUGCUUGCGUCGCCAUCCUUGGGUGGAACCUGUGUGGCAUUAGGUUGUCGUGCAGGGGAUGCCCAUCGUUUACUGUGAAAAAAUUAGAGUGUUCAAAGCAGGCUUAUGCCGUUGAAUAUGUUAGCAUGGAAUAAUAAGAUAGGACCUUGGUACUAUUUUGUUGGUUUGCGCACCAAGGUAAUGAUUAAAAGGGACAGUUGUGGGUAUUCGUAUUCCAUUGUCAGAGGUGAAAUUCUUGGAUUUUUGGAAGACGAACUACUGCGAAAGCAUUUACCAAGGAUGUUUUCAUUAA